CUGAUGGCAGAGGAUACGCGGCGUAUGAGCGACUUUAAGCGCCAAAAUUACGAUUUACAAGAGAAUUGCACAGCAAUAAAGCAAUAAACAAAACGCUUGCAUUCAUCACCUUCCAUAACAGAAACAACAAUAAUACCAAUAGCAAUAGAAGCACUGAGGCCGAAUUAUACCUUGACUGUGGUCAACAUAUAAUAUUAGAUUGCGCAUUCAUCACCCGCCGCUGCUACCUCUGCAACGAACGAAUGAAGGCAUCUUGCCAUCGAAGGGCAAUCGAUCUAUCAUCAUUGAUUAAUGUGAUUCGCCGUAGCGCCACUUUAGUCAAACAACUGGAAGAGGACCAUUUAGAUGCGCUUUAGUGCAGCCCGAAGAUAACACCGACUAAGUGAGUGCAGCCAUAUGUGCUUUUGUGUGGGCGUGAUUGUCGCAAACACUCUAUGUGGCACAUAAACAAAGCAAUGCUAGGUGUUGCCCCUUGAGCACAAUAGUACGCUCAGUUAACAUUCACUCCGUUGGCGAAUGGCUGAGAUUGUCGAGCGCUGGUUAAUUAAUUGACACCCAGAUAGGCAUAAUUGUCAAACACAAUUCGCUUUGUUGUGAAACAUUUCAGGAAUUCGCCUUGAGUUACCGACUAAAAGUGUCAACAGCAGAGUGCGCCAUAUACAUGCAUAUACCAGCAUAGAAUUUACCUAUGCACUUGCAUACAUAAGUACAUAAUGGGCGUGUGCUUGCUGGUAAUAAAAUUUUUUAUGGUAUAUAUAUAUGCCAAAAAAUCACAUUUUUAUUUGAAUAAAGUGCUCACUUUAAAAAACUGUUCACCGCAUACAAUAGUUUUUGAUCAUUAUGAUAAGUAAUCAAUUCGUGCAUAAAACCGUGUGCAAUUGUUUCAAAUUUAUUGAAUUACAAAUGUUUGUACAUUUUUUAUCACACCGCUGAGAGCAACGCUACCCAUGUUUAUUGCCUGUUAAAGUUAGGUUCAGCAGUAAAAUAAAACUAUUAAAUUAUUUAUUUGAAAU